GAACGCCUGUUCUUGCCAGGUGG
rnacentral:miRNA from 3 species